rnacentral:misc_RNA from 1 species
AAGUCGUAACAAGGUCUCCGUAGGUGAACCUGCGGAGGGAUCAUUACACAACAAAAUAUGAAGGCCUGGCUUCACGGCCGGCUGAAAUAUUUUUUUUCACCCAUGUCUUUUGCGCACUUGUUGUUUCCUGGGCGGGUUCGCCCGCCACCAGGACCAAACCAUAAACCUUUUUUUUAUGCAGUUGCAAUCAGCGUCAGUAAAAACAAUGUAAUUAAUUACAACUUUCAACAACGGAUCUCUUGGUUCUG